UCAAACUUGGUCAUUUAGAGGAAGUAAAAGUCGUAACAAGGUCUCCGUAGGUGAACCGUGAGUUAAACCCAUCAAUUAUCUAUUAAUUAGGCCGAUAUACUAACAAUCUUAACAGUGCGGAGGGAUCAUUAUCGAGCGAGGGCCCCGGGCCCGACCUCCAACCCUUUUGUGAUUCCGACCGUGUUGCCUCGAGGGCGACCCGGCCGCUUCGGCGUCGGGCCCCUCGGUGGACCCCAUCAAAAUUCUUGCAUCGUUGCGUCGGAUUAUCAAGUUUAAAUUAUCAAAACUUUCAACAACGGAUCUCUUGGUUCUGGCAUCGAUGAAGAACGCAGC
rnacentral:misc_RNA from 1 species